GACGAACGCUGGCGGCGUGCUUAACACAUGCAAGUCGAACGGGCCUGUCUUCUUUUUUGGGGGUGGGUUGAGUGGCGAACGGGUGAGUAUCACGUGAGUAACCUGCCCUUCGGUCCUGGAUAACCGCUUGAAAGGGCGGCUAAUACGGGGUGGUCCGGUUGGUCCGCAUGGGCUGGUCGGGAUAGAUUCACUGUUUUUGGUGUUUCGGCGGGGGAUGGGCUCGCGGCCUAUCAGCUUGUUGGUGGGGUGAUGGCCUACCAAGGCGGUGACGGGUAGCCGGCCUGAGAGGGUGGGCGGCCACACUGGGACUGAGAUACGGCCCAGACUCCUGCGGGAGGCAGCAGUGGGGGGUAUUGCACGAUGGGCGGAAGCCUGAUGCAGCGACGUCGCGUGAGGGAGGGAGGCCUUCGGGUUGUGAACCUCUGUUUCCGGUGGUGAAGGCCCUGUCCGUGUGGUGGGGUUGACGGUAGCCGGGGAUGAAGCGCCGGCUAACUACGUG
rnacentral:rRNA from 1 species